rnacentral:sRNA from 1 species
UUUAAAUUUUUAUUUUAUCAUAACGAAUUUGUUAUACGAAAAUUGACGAACGUACAACUGCAUGUAUCACAGAUUUGCUAAUCACACUCUAUAUCAAUAAGUGCUUAUUGGACUACAACAAAGUGAAAUGGCGAUCAAAAUAAUCGAUAAGAGGGUUGUCAGCAUUUCGGCUUAGAUAAAAGGAAUGCGCUACUUUGAUACGUAGAGCUUUCGAUGCGUUUGAAAAACAGCACCUCUAGUGAUAUCGUCCGAGUUCGAGUUUCGCUUAAGGAGCCGAAAUAAAAUUUUAAUUGAAAACUUAUUAUAUAAAAUGUUAAUUCUGAAAAGAAAUCUUAAUUGUAUUUAUGUAUAUAAAUAUAUAAAUAUAAUUUAAAUAUAUUAA